rnacentral:lncRNA from 1 species
AGGCCCCUUCCCUCUGCCCCCGGGUGCUUGAAGUCUAGCCCCAUCCUGGUCCAAUGCGCUCUUGGUAGCCUCCUUUCCCAGCUGCCCGCCCGCCGCCAUGCCGCCCUUACUGCCCCUGCGCCUGUGCCGGCUGUGGACAACGAAGCCCGGGCACGGGCCAGGGCCAACAGAGGCAUCCUUCAGCAGGAGCGACAACGGCUAGGGCAGCGGCAGCCGCCACCAUCCGAGCCAACCCAAGGCCCCGAGAUCGUGCCCCGGGGCGCCGGCCCCUGAGGGGCUCACCUGGAUGGGGCCUGCAGUGCGUUCCCGCUUUGCUUCCUUCCCUGGACGGCCCGCUCCCCGAAACGCGCGCAAUAAAGUGAUUCGCAGAGCUCG